rnacentral:rRNA from 1 species
AUGGCAGAGAUUGUGAUUCUACUAGCCGUUAAAAAGAUCGGAAACGCCUUGGCAAAUGGAGCAGCGAACAAGGCCAGCGCACAUUUUGCGAAGUAUGGGACACAGCUACUAGAGCUACAGGGCAGCAUGAAUCGUGUUGUGAGGGAGCUUCGCGUGAUGCAUGAUGUUCUCUGUCAAAUGGACAUUCGAAAUCGCAACAAUCAAGUAUACGAGGGAUGGUUGGAGGAGGUACGGAAAGUAGCACAUGUGAUGGAGGACAUGGUGGAUGAGUACUUGUAUCUAGUUGGUCGGGAACAUGAUAUAGGUUGUUGCUUUUACCUGAAAAAAGGGUUUAGAAAACCAAGAUCUCUUCUUUCUUUGAACCAGAUAGCUUUCAAGGUGAAGGAAAUAGAGAAAGACCUUAUGCACCUGUCAGAGACAAAAAACCGUUGGGUUCCCAUGAUAAUCAAUGGCGAUACUAGUAGCUCGAAUUACAUUGUCAAGAGGUCCCAAGAUCUAGCAAACAUUUCACGUUCCCUUGAUGAAGAAGAUCUAGUGGGGGUGGAUAAGAACAGAGAAAAACUAGGGCGGUGGUUGGCAGGUGAUGAUUUGGAAUGCUCUGUGAUAGCGCUGUUGGGGAUGGGAGGGCUUGGUAAAACAGCUUUAGCUGCAAAUGUCUACAGGAAGGAAAGAGAGAAAUUCCAUUACCAUGCCUGGGUCUCCAUCUCUCAAACUUAUUCAAGAGAAGAUGUCUUGAGGAGUAUAAUCAAGGAACUUUUCAGAGAUAAAGUCAGUGUUCUAUCUAACAUUGCGGCCAUGGACAUAACAUGUCUUGAAGAGACAUUGAAGAAAUUUCUGGAGGAACAUAAGUGUUUGACCAUAUUGGAUGAUGUUUGGACACCAGAAGCAUUUAAUGACUUGUCUAGGGCACUUAUUCAUAAUGAUAUGGGCAGCAGACUGGUAAUAACAACAAGGGAAGGCGUUGUUGCUGCACUUGCUUCUCGAGGGCGUAUCUUAACACUGGAAGCUUUACCAGAAGAUAAGGCAUGGGAUCUCUUUUGUAAGAAAGCCUUUCCAAGAGAUAGAAAUCAUGAAUGUCCUGCGGAGUUGAGGCCUUUGUCUGAGGAAAUAGUAAACAAGUGCAAAGGCUUGCCUCUUGUUAUUGUGUUAGUUGGAAGCCUCUUGCAUGUGCGUGAUAAAACUAUGGAAGAAUGGAGAAGAAUAAAUGUCCAAUUGAAUUGGGAGCUGAUUGACAAUUCGAGUCUCGAUCACAUAAGGAAUGUCUUGCAUUUGAGCUUCAUCUAUCUUCCAACACCCUUAAAAAGUUGUUUCCUAUACUGUAGCUUAUUUCCAGAAGACUAUCUUUUCAAAAGGAAACAACUUGUACGGUUAUGGAUAGCAGAGGGGUUCAUCGAGGAGAGGGGUGAAAGCACAUUAGAAGAAGUGGCAGAAGGCUAUCUGAAGGAGUUGAUUGACAGGAACAUGCUACAAGUAGUUGAGAGGAAUGGAUUUGGUAGGAUGAAGAAAUUCAGAAUGCAUGAUAUUUUACGUGAAUUGGCCGUUGAUUUGUGCCACAAGAACUGUUUUGGUGUUACGCGUGAGGCUAAUUGUGGGGGGUAUGUUGAGAUGGAUGGACGUCGAUUGGUAUUGCAUAAAUUAAACAAGGAUAUUCAGCAGUCAUUUUCUAGUAUACACAGACUUCGAACUAUUGUUACACUGGACAACAACAUGCCAUCAUUCACUCUACUACCUCUGCUAUGUAAGGAGUCAAGAUAUAUGACUGUGCUAGAAUUAAGGGGUCUACCCAUCAAGACAAUUCCAGAAGCUAUUGGAGAUCUUUUUAAUCUCCGCCAUUUGGGUUUGCGUAACUCAAAGGUGAAGAUGCUCCCGAGGUCUAUUGAGAAGCUUUCAAAUUUGUUGACACUGGACCUUUUUGCAUCUGGCAUACAUGAGUUGCCUAGUGGGAUUGUGAAACUGAAGAAGCUUAGGCACUUGUUUGUUGAGAAAGUAAUUGAUCCAUAUUGGAAAGGGUUUCAAUGUAGCAGUGGUAUGUAUAUCCCCAAUGGUCUUGGAAAUCUAACAAACUUGCAGACGCUUCAAGCAUUGGAAGCACAAGAUGAUUCUCUUAGACAUUUAGGGGAGCUGAGGCAACUGAGAAGCUUGAGGUUAUUGAAUGUGAAGCAAAUGCAUUGUGGACGCAUCGGUGAGUCUCUACUUCAGAUGCGGUGUUUGUCCAACCUAUACGUGAAUGCAAGUGAUGAGAACGAGGUUCUCCUGUUAAACUUCCUCCUGCCAAGCUUGCAGAAGCUAUCUUUGAGAGGACGGCUAGCGGAAGGGGCGUUGGACGAAUCUCCUCUCUUUCAAGCUGUUGGGGGGCAGAACUUGUAUUCAUUGAUUCUAUUUUGGUCGCAGCUCAGAGAAGACCCCCUGCCAUCCCUUUCUCAGCUGUCAAACUUGACUAGUCUACAGUUCACGAGAGCAUACAACGGAGAGCAGCUCACAUUUCUCAUGGGGUGGUUUCCCAAACUGAAGAUUCUUUAUUUAACAGACCUGCCUAAUCUGAAUCGGCUAGAAAUACAACAAGGUGCCAUGGCAAGCCUGGAAAAAUUAUUCUUAGUCAACCUCAACAACAUGACAGAGGUCCCACCUGGCAUUGAGUUCCUCAUUCCCCUUAAGUACCUAGCCUUGUACGAAAUCACCAGUGACUUCUUGACCUUGCUGCACCAAUGUUCUGCAAUUCGAGGGACGCGGUGGGCCUAUUCGCUCCGAGAUUGA